CAUUGAUACAGGUUUUGUAUUCAAUAUUUUUCUAGAGCUGUCGAUACUAUAUGUUUCCAAGUGAAAAGCAAAGACAUAUUUUAUGUUUUUCUACAGCUCUCUUUUCUGCCCUCUUUCCUUCUCUCUCUCUCUCUCUCUCUUCUCUCUCUCUCUCUCUCUCUCUCCCCCUUAGCAGUAAUGAUCUUGACAACCAUUAGGGGGCAGCUGUGACCAGAAAAGAAAACAACAGGAGAAAAUGCAGAACUGAAACCCAAGAGGAAGGGAUGGAUGCACAAGGAAAUGAAAGGAACACUAAGGAGAGACAUCAGCAAAAGUAAAAAAAUGAAAAAGAAAGCAGGAAGAUACGACGGCAGAGCAUUAUGAAAUAAAAGGAGAUGGAGAAGGAAAUUAUAUUAAAAAGCGAAAGGAAGUAUGACCCAAGUCUUCCUUCCUUCCCUGCCUGGAUCCCUUGUUGACGUCCAUUGGGAUGGGAGAACCAGACCGAGGCGAUCCCAUUGAGGAAUCAAUGAUACAUCAUCCUUAAGAAAGGCAAGAGUCAAUGGACCCCGCUCGAGGCCCAACGCACAUACCCCUGAAGUUAACCGUGCUCAUCAUUUUGGGACUCGACACCCAACCGACACUGAGAAAUGGCAGCUUUCAGUUAAACAAACGCAAAGCUGUAUUUAGGCUCUCUCGCAACAUUGUGAUGAGAAGAAAUGAAAGCGUCUUCGGCUGCUAUUUUUAAAAUACUCACCAGGGCAAUUCCAUCAGAAAUACGAUACCUUACGAUAGCUUUUAUAUUUUGAUCCUUUCUUUUCAAGAGUAACAUGUGGGAGAAACCCCGGAUCCAAUGAAACCGAUUUAAAAAAGUCGAUUUGAACAAAUGCUGCUGUGCUGUUAGAGUUAUUAAAAAAAAUUCUCAGGGGCGCCUGGGUGGCGCAGUCGGUUAAGCGUCCGAUUUCAGCCAGGUCACGAUCUCGCGGUCCGGGAGUUCGAGCCCCGCGUCAGGCUCUGGGCUGACGGCUCGGAGCCUGGAGCCUGUUUCAGAUUCUGUGUCUCCCUCUCUCUCUGCCCCUCCCCCGUUCAUGCUCUGUCUCUCUCUGUCCCAAAAAUAAAUAAAAACGUUGGGAAAAAAAAAUUAAAAAA
rnacentral:lncRNA from 1 species